CCUACGGGCGGCUGCAGUGGGGAAUAUUGGACAAUGGGCGAAAGCCUGAUCCAGCCAUGCCGCGUGUGUGAAGAAGGCCUUCGGGUUGUAAAGCACUUUCAGUGGGGAAGAAAGCCUUGGGGCUAAUACCCUCGAGGAAGGACAUCACCCACAGAAGAAGCACCGGCUAACUCCGUGCCAGCAGCCGCGGUAAUACGGAGGGUGCGAGCGUUAAUCGGAAUUACUGGGCGUAAAGCGCGCGUAGGCGGGUUGAUAAGCCGGUUGUGAAAGCCCCGGGCUCAACCUGGGAACGGCAUCCGGAACUGUCAGGCUAGAGUGCAGGAGAGGAAGGUAGAAUUCCCGGUGUAGCGGUGAAAUGCGUAGAGAUCGAGAGGAAUACCAGUGGCGAAGGCGGCCUUCUGGACUGACACUGACGCUGAGGUGCGAAAGCGUGGGUAGCAAACAGGAUAGAUACCCCAGUAGUC
rnacentral:rRNA from 1 species